AAGGAAUUUUUCAAGGAUCAGUCAAAUGAUAGGAUUUGAGAAGGAACGCCAAGGGCGAAGGCAUUUAUUAGAGUAAACAAAAGCUUAAACACGGAAGCCCGAGUAUCGAACCGGAUUAGAGACCCGCAGUAGUUCGGGCCGUCAAUUGCCUCAUAAAAGAGAGGUCAUCUGAUGACACGGCGGCAACGCUUUAAGUCAAAGUAAUAGGCGGAGUGCAAUACAUGCGAUGGAGCAUGCGGUUUAAUGCGACAAUCCUCGCAAAACCUUACCACU
rnacentral:rRNA from 1 species